rfam:Myotis brandtii contig261837, whole genome shotgun sequence.
GCCUGUAUGGCUCAGUGGUUGAGCAUCGACCUAUGAACCAGGAGAUCAGGGUUCAAUUCCCAGUCAGGGCA